UUUUGUCAGAAGCACAUAUAGAACACCAUGUCAGAAAAUAUUUUUCUUAAGUAGACCAAUGAAAUUAUCUUACUGCCUCAAAUGAAUAUAACAAGGCAACCAAACAUUUUUACUUUGGGGCUCAGAUCCUGCCAUCCUGGAUUGCAAAAUAUUCAUUAAUUCAAUUUCAUCCAUCAAAUCCCAAAGCCAAUCUAACCAUCAAGAUAAUACCCAUGUGAUUG
rnacentral:misc_RNA from 1 species